rnacentral:rRNA from 1 species
UACGUAGGGGGCAAGCGUUGUCCGGAAUCAUUGGGCGUAAAGCGCGUGUAGGCGGCCUUGUAAGUCCGUUCUGAAAGCCCGGGGCUCAACCCCGGGAGGCGGAUGGAUACUGCAAGGCUCGAGUCCGGAAGAGGCGAGUGGAAUUCCCGGUGUAGCGGUGAAAUGCGCAGAUAUCGGGAGGAACACCGGUGGCGAAGGCGGAUCUCUGGGCCUGUCCUGACGCUCAGGCGCGAAAGCUAGGGGAGCAAACAGG